GUGGUUAUAGUUUAAAUUAAAAUGUUGCGUUGUGGUUGCAUAGAUAAAUGAUUUUGUUUUAACCAUA
rnacentral:tRNA from 1 species